AUUGAACGCUGGCGGCAGGCCUAACACAUGCAAGUCGAGCGGCAGCGGGAAAGUAGCUUGCUACUUUUGCCGGCGAGCGGCGGACGGGUGAGUAAUGCCUGGGAAAUUGCCCAGUCGAGGGGGAUAACAGUUGGAAACGACUGCUAAUACCGCAUACGCCCUACGGGGGAAAGCAGGGGACCUUCGGGCCUUGCGCGAUUGGAUAUGCCCAGGUGGGAUUAGCUAGUUGGUGAGGUAAUGGCUCACCAAGGCGACGAUCCCUAGCUGGUCUGAGAGGAUGAUCAGCCACACUGGAACUGAGACACGGUCCAGACUCCUACGGGAGGCAGCAGUGGGGAAUAUUGCACAAUGGGGGAAACCCUGAUGCAGCCAUGCCGCGUGUGUGAAGAAGGCCUUCAGGUUGUAAAGCACUUUCAGCGAGGAGGAAAGGUUGAUGCCUAAUACGUAUCAACUGUGACGUUACUCGCAGAAGAAGCACCGGCUAACUCCGCGCCAGCCGCCGCGGUAA
rnacentral:rRNA from 1 species